UACGUAGGGGGCCAGCGUUGUUCGGAAUUACUGGGUGUAAAGGGUUCGUAGGCGGUGCGGCAAGUUGGGAGUGAAAUCUCUGGGCUCAACCCAGAGACGGCUUCCAAAACUGCUGUGCUUGAGUGUGAGAGAGGCUCGUGGAAUUGCAGGUGUAGCGGUGAAAUGCGUAGAUAUCUGCAGGAACACCCGUGGCGAAAGCGGCGAGCUGGAUCACUACUGACGCUGAAGAACGAAAGCUAGGGGAGCAAACAGG
rnacentral:rRNA from 1 species